CCUACGGGGGGCAGCAGUGAGGAAUAUUGGUCAAUGGACGCAAGUCUGAACCAGCCAAGCCGCGUGCAGGAAGACGGCUCUAUGAGUUGUAAACUGCUUUUGUACGAGGGUAAACGCAGAUACGCGUAUCUGUCUGAAAGUAUCGUACGAAUAAGGAUCGGCUAACUCCGUGCCAGCAGCCGCGGUAAUACGGAGGAUUCAAGCGUUAUCCGGAUUUAUUGGGUUUAAAGGGUGCGUAGGCGGUCGGAUAAGUUAGAGGUGAAAUCCCGAGGCUCAACCUCGGAAUUGCCUCUGAUACUGUUCGGCUAGAGAGUAGUUGAGGUAGGCGGAAUGUAUGGUGUAGCGGUGAAAUGCUUAGAGAUCAUACAGAACACCGAUUGCGAAGGCAGCAUACCAAGCUACUUCUGACGUUGAGGCACGAAAGCGUGGGGAGCAAACAGGAUUAGAUACCCCAGUAGUC
rnacentral:rRNA from 1 species